GGUUAAGCGACUAAGCGUACACGGUGGAUGCCCUGGCAGUCAGAGGCGAUGAAGGACGUGCUAAUCUGCGAUAAGCGUCGGUGAGGUGAUAUGAACCGUUAUAACCGGCGAUUUCCGAAUGGGGAAACCCAGUGUGUUUCGACACACUAUCAUUAACUGAAUCCAUAGGUUAAUGAGGCGAACCGGGGGAACUGAAACAUCUAAGUACCCCGAGGAAAAGAAAUCAACCGAGAUUCCCCCAGUAGCGGCGAGCGAACGGGGAGGAGCCCAGAGCCUGAAUCAGUGUGUGUGUUAGUGGAAGCGUCUGGAAAGGCGUGCGAUACAGGGUGACAGCCCCGUACACAAAAAUGCACAUAUUGUGAGCUCGAUGAGUAGGGCGGGACACGUGGUAUCCUGUCUGAAUAUGGGGGGACCAUCCUCCAAGGCUAAAUACUCCUGACUGACCGAUAGUGAACCAGUACCGUGAGGGAAAGGCGAAAAGAACCCCGGCGAGGGGAGUGAAAAAGAACCUGAAACCGUGUACGUACAAGCAGUGGGAGCCUCUUAAUGGGGUGACUGCGUACCUUUUGUAUAAUGGGUCAGCGACUUAUAUUCUGUAGCAAGGUUAACCGAAUAGGGGAGCCGAAGGGAAACCGAGUCUUAACUGGGCGUUAAGUUGCAGGGUAUAGACCCGAAACCCGGUGAUCUAGCCAUGGGCAGGUUGAAGGUUGGGUAACACUAACUGGAGGACCGAACCGACUAAUGUUGAAAAAUUAGCGGAUGACUUGUGGCUGGGGGUGAAAGGCCAAUCAAACCGGGAGAUAGCUGGUUCUCCCCGAAAGCUAUUUAGGUAGCGCCUCGUGAAUUCAUCUCCGGGGGUAGAGCACUGUUUCGGCAAGGGGGUCAUCCCGACUUACCAACCCGAUGCAAACUGCGAAUACCGGAGAAUGUUAUCACGGGAGACACACGGCGGGUGCUAACGUCCGUCGUGAAGAGGGAAACAACCCAGACCGCCAGCUAAGGUCCCAAAGUCAUGGUUAAGUGGGAAAC
rnacentral:rRNA from 1 species